UACAGAGGUCUCAAGCGUUGUUCGGAUUCAUUGGGCGUAAAGGGUGCGUAGGCGGCGCGGUAAGUCGGGUGUGAAAUCUCGGAGCUUAACUCCGAAACUGCAUUCGAUACUGCCAUGCUUGAGGACUGGAGAGGAGACUGGAAUUUACGGUGUAGCGGUGAAAUGCGUAGAUAUCGUAAGGAAGACCAGUGGCGAAGGCGGGUCUCUGGGCAUUAACUGACGCUGAGGAGCGAAAGCAUGGGGAGCGAACAGG
rnacentral:rRNA from 1 species